rnacentral:rRNA from 1 species
AGGGGGCCAGCGUUGUUCGGAAUUACUGGGUGUAAAGGGUUCGUAGGCGGUGUAGCAAGUCGGGAGUGAAAUCUCUGGGCUCAACCCAGAGUCUGCUUCCGAAACUGCUGUGCUUGAGUGUGGGAGAGGCGCGUGGAAUUGCAGGUGUAACGGUGAAAUGCGUAGAUAUCGGAAGGAACACCUGUGGCGAAAGCGGCUCACUGGACCAUAACUGACGCUGAGGCGCGAAAGCUAGGGGAGCAAACAGG